AGGAGCUGUAUGCGGUGAAAGUCGCACGUACAGUUUUGAAGCAGAGUGCGAGAAGGUGACUUCUCGUUCGACUGUAAC
rfam:Cyanobacterium aponinum PCC 10605, complete genome.